rnacentral:rRNA from 1 species
AAGAAAGUAAGCAAGGGCGCAUGGCGGAUGCCUUGGCUCUCGGAGGCGAUGAAGGACGUGAUAAGCUGCGAUAAGCUUCGGGGAGGUGCAAAUAACCUUUGAUCCGAAGAUUUCCGAAUGGGACAACCCAAUAUCUUGAAGAGAUAUUAUCCAACUCAGUUGGAGGCUAACGCAGGGAACUGAAACAUCUUAGUACCUGCAGGAAAAGAAAAUAAAGAAUGAUUCCCCCAGUAGUGGCGAGCGAACGGGGAAUAGCCCAAACCAUCCAUGUUACGGCAUGGGUGGGGUUGUAGGACCACGCCGUGGCAAGAAAGUUGGUGAGCAGAAUGUUCUGGAAAGUACAGCCAUAGAGCAUGACAGCUGCGUAUGCGAAGCCAAGCGAAGCCUAGUGGUAUCCUGAGUAGCGCGGAGCACGAGGAAUUCUGCGUGAAUCUGCCGGGACCAUCCGGUAAGGCUAAAUACUCCCGAGAGACCGAUAGUGAACCAGUACUGUGAAGGAAAGGUGAAAAGCACUUCGAACAGAAGAGUGAAAUAGUUCCUGAAACCAUGUGCCUACAAGCGGUCGGAGCACCUUCUGGUGUGACGGCGUGCCUUUUGCAUAAUGAACCUACGAGUUGCCUUUGCCGGCAAGGUUAAGUGUGACGACACACGUAUCCGAAGCGAAAGCGAGUCUGAACAGGGCGUAUAGUCGGCAGUGGCAGACGCGAAACCAAGUGAUCUACCCUUGGCCAGGUUGAAGGCUGGGUAACACCAGCUGGAGGACCGCACCAAUAAGCGUUGAAAAGCUUCUGGAUGAGCUGAGGGUAGGGGUGAAAGGCUAAUCAAACUUGGAGAUAGCUCGUACUCCCCGAAAUGCAUUUAGGUGCAGCCUUGUGGGUUACUGAUGUGAGGUAGAGCGACUGAUAAGAUGCGAGGGCUUCACCGCCUAUCAAGUCUUGACAAACUCCGAAUGCGCAUCAGUUUUACCUCAGGAGUGAGGGCAUGGGUGCUAAGGUCCGUGCCCGAGAGGAGAAGAAUCCGGACCACCUGCUAAGGUCCCGAAAUGACAGCUAAGUUAAACUAACGAAGUCUGACUGCUAAGACAGCUAGGAUGUUGGCUUGGAAGCAGCCAUUCAUUUAAAGAGUGCGUAACAGCUCACUAGUCGAGGAGUCGGGCGUGGAUAAUAAUCGGGUAUCAAGUUGUCUACCGAAGCAGUGGGAUCAUUAAUAUGAUCGGUAGGGGAGCAUUCCAGUCAGCGUCGAAGGCGUACCGUGAGGUAUUCUGGAGCGUCUGGAAAAGCAAAUGUAGGUAUAAGUAACGAUAAAGGGGGCGGGAAACCCCCUCGCCGAAAGACUAAGGUUUCCUGAUCAACGCUAAUCGGAUCAGGGUCAGUCGGGUCCUAAGGCUCAGCCGAACGGCGAUGCCGAUGGCAGAAACGGUUAAUAUUCCGUUACUACCUUCAGGAGUGACGUGGAGACGCAGUAGUGACAGUGCCGCCAUCUGACGGAAUAGAUGGUUGAAGGGUGUAGGAGUCGAUCAUGGCAGGCAAAUCCACCAUGAGAUCCGAACCUGACAGUAUGCCGCGUCCUUCGGGACAAGGCAAUAGUGCGCGUAAGCAUGCUGCCGAGAAAAUCCGCUAAACUUAAUCCUGUAGGUACCCGUACCGCAAACGGACACACGUAGUCGGGAUGAAUAUUCUAAGGCGCUUGAGUGAUUCACGGUUAAGGAACUAGGCAAACUGACCCUGUAACUUCGGGAUAAAGGGUCCCUACCCUUUUAUGGGAGGGCGCAGAGAAUCGGUCUAGGCAACUGUUUAACAAAAACACAGGGCUGUGCUAAAUCGAAAGAUCCUGUAUACAGCCUGACACCUGCCCGGUGCUGGAAGGUUAAGAGGAGACGUCAUCGUUGAGAGAAGCGUUGAAUUGAAGCCCCAGUAAACGGCGGCCGUAACUAUAACGGUCCUAAGGUAGCGAAAUUCCUUGUCGGGUAAGUUCCGACCUGCACGAAUGGUGUAAUGAUCUGGACGCUGUCUCAACCGUGAGCUCAGUG